rnacentral:rRNA from 1 species
AGCGUACGCUGGCGGCAGGCCUAACACAUGCAAGUCGAACGAAGUCUUCGGACUUAGUGGCGGACGGGUGAGUAACACGUGGGAACGUGCCUUUAGGUUCGGAAUAACUCAGGGAAACUUGUGCUAAUACCGAAUGUGCCCUUCGGGGGAAAGAUUUAUCGCCUUUAGAGCGGCCCGCGUCUGAUUAGCUAGUUGGUGAGGUAAAGGCUCACCAAGGCGACGACCAGUAGCUGGUCUGAGAGGAUGAUCAGCCACAUUGGGACUGAGACACGGCCCAAACUCCUACGGGAGGCAGCAGUGGGGAAUCUUGCGCAAUGGGCGAAAGCCUGACGCAGCCAUGCCGCGUGAAUGAUGAAGGUCUUAGGAUUGUAAAAUUCUUUCACCGGGGACGAUAGUGACGGUACCCGGAGAAGAAGCCCCGGCUAACUUCGUGCCAGCCGCCGCGGUAA